rnacentral:rRNA from 1 species
UCCUACGGGAGGCAGCAGUGAGGAAUAUUGGACAAUGGUCGGAAGACUGAUCCAGCCAUGCCGCGUGAAGGAAAAGGUCCUAUGGAUUUUCAACUUCUUUUGUACGGGAGCAAUAAGGGUCACGCGUGGCCCGAUGAGAGUACCGUACGAAUAAGCAUCGGCUAACUCCGUGCCAGCAGCCGCGGUAAUA